rnacentral:rRNA from 1 species
CAGUUCGGACUGUAGUCUGNAACCCGACUACAUGAAGCUGGAAUCGCUAGUAAUCGCGGAUCAGAAUGCCGCGGUGAAUACGUUCCCGGGUCUUGUACACACCGCCCGUCACACCAUGGGAGUCGGAAAUGCCCGAAGUCUGUGACCCAACCGCAAGGAGGGAGCAGCCGAAGGCAGGUCGGAUGACUGGGGUGAAGUCGUAACAAGGUACC